rnacentral:rRNA from 1 species
AUACGUAGGUGGCGAGCGUUAUCCGGAAUUACUGGGUGUAAAGGGUGUGUAGGCGGGAAGGCAAGUCGGAUGUGAAAAUUAUGGGCUCAACCCAUAGACUGCUUUUGAAACUGCGUAACUAGAGUGCAGGAGAGGAAAGUGGAAUUCCUAGUGUAGCGGUGAAAUGCGUAGAUAUUAGGAGGAAAACCAGUGGCGAGGGAGGCUUGCGGGGCCAUAACGGACCCUGAGGCACGAAAGCGUGGGGAGCAAACAGGAUUAGAUACCCUGGUAGUCCACGCCGUAAACGAUGAGUACUAAGUGUAGGAGAAAUUCUGUGCUGUAGUUAACGCAAUAAGUACUCCGCCUGAGUAGUACGUACGCAAGUAUGAAACUCAAAGGAAUUGACGGGG